AACCUCCGCAAUGUGAGAAAUCGCGACGGGGGGAUCCCAAGUGCCAUUCUUAACGGGAUGGCUUUUCAUUAGUGUAAAGAGCUUUUGGAAUAAGAGCUGGGCAAGACCGGUGCCAGCCGCCGCGGUAACACCGGCAGCUCUAGUGGUAACAAUUUUUAUUGGGCCUAAAGCGUUCGUAGCCGGUUUGAUAAGUCACUGGUGAAAUCCUGUAGCUUAACUGUGGGAAUUGCUGGUGAUACUGUUGAACUUGAGGUCGGGAGAGGUUAGCGGUACUCCCAGGGUAGAGGUGAAAUUCUGUAAUCCUGGGAGGACCACCUGUGGCGAAGGCGGCUAACUGGAACGAACCUGACGGUGAGGGACGAAAGCUAGGGGCGCGAACCGGAUUAGAUACCCGGGUAGUCCUAGCCGUAAACGAUGCGGACUUGGUGUUGGGAUGGCUUUGAGCCGCUCCGGUGCCGAAGGGAAGCUGUUAAGUCCGCCGCCUGGGAAGUACGGUCGCAAGACUAAAACUUAAAGGAAUU
rnacentral:rRNA from 1 species